UAACUAUCUUAUGUUUCAGUCAUUUGGACAAUCAUCAUUCUUUCUAAUGGUGUUUAAAUCAUUUGUUCAUCAAUACUGCUUUAUAUCCAAAAUCACACCUGACAAAGACGUUAUUGUCAUGGCUGAUGAAUUUUGGAGGCAAUUUUAUGGGAAAAAUUUCAAAGAUGGUAAACGAUCUUGCCUUAGACAGCCGAUCUAUCUUUGUCUUUUCAAUGGUUGGAAAUAAAAUUUUCGAGCUUUCAGUCUUUAAUCAUCAAACCAGUACUCAAAUUCAGAACAACAA